rnacentral:rRNA from 1 species
GAUGAACGCUGGCGGCGUGCCUAAUACAUGCAAGUCGAGCGAACAGAUAAGGAGCUUGCUCCUUUGAAGUUAGCGGCGGACGGGUGAGUAACACGUGGGUAACCUACCUAUAAGACUGGGAUAACUUCGGGAAACCGGAGCUAAUACCGGAUAACAUUUAGAACCGCAUGGUUCUAAAGUGAAAGAUGGUUUUGCUAUCACUUAUAGAUGGACCCGCGCCGUAUUAGCUAGUUGGUAAGGUAACGGCUUACCAAGGCGACGAUACGUAGCCGACCUGAGAGGGUGAUCGGCCACACUGGAACUGAGCCACGGUCCAGACUCCUACGGGAGGCAGCAGUAGGGAAUCUUCCGCAAUGGGCGAAAGCCUGACGGAGCAACGCCGCGUGAGUGAUGAAGGGUUUCGGCUCGUAAAACUCUGUUAUUAGGGAAGAACAAAUGUGUAAGUAACUGUGCACAUCUUGACGGUACCUAAUCAGAAAGCCACGGCUAACUACGUG